UUGGCCGUAGCUUAAUUGGCAGAGCGCCUGGCUGUGAACCAGGUUCGUGCCGGUUCAAAUCCGGCCGGUCAAC
rnacentral:tRNA from 1 species